rnacentral:rRNA from 1 species
GCAGUCGAGCGGUAAGGCCCUUCGGGGUACACGAGCGGCGAACGGGUGAGUAACACGUGGGUGAUCUGCCUCGUACUUCGGGAUAAGCCUGGGAAACUGGGUCUAAUACCGGAUAUGACCUUCGGAUGCAUGUCUGAGGGUGGAAAGAUUUAUCGGUACGAGAUGGGCCCGCGGCCUAUCAGCUUGUUGGUGGGGUAAUGGCCUACCAAGGCGACGACGGGUAGCCGGCCUGAGAGGGCGACCGGCCACACUGGGACUGAGACACGGCCCAGACUCCUACGGGAGGCAGCAGUGGGGAAUAUUGCACAAUGGGCGAAAGCCUGAUGCAGCGACGCCGCGUGAGGGAUGACGGCCUUCGGGUUGUAAACCUCUUUCGACAGGGACGAAGCGCAAGUGACGGUACCUGUAGAAGAAGCACCGGCCAACUACGUGCCAGCAGCCGCGGUAAUACGUAGGGUGCGAGCGUUGUCCGGAAUUACUGGGCGUAAAGAGCUUGUAGGCGGUUCGUCGCGUCGUUCGUGAAAACUUGGGGCUCAACCCCAAGCUUGCGGGCGAUACGGGCGGACUAGAGUACUUCAGGGGAGACUGGAAUUCCUGGUGUAGCGGUGAAAUGCGCAGAUAUCAGGAGGAACACCGGUGGCGAAGGCGGGUCUCUGGGAAGUAACUGACGCUGAGAAGCGAAAGCGUGGGUAGCGAACAGGAUUAGAUACCCUGGUAGUCCACGCCGUAAACGGUGGGUACUAGGUGUGGGUUUCCUUCCACGGGAUCCGUGCCGUAGCUAACGCAUUAAGUACCCCGCCUGGGGAGUACGGCCGCAAGGCUA